AGUGAACGCUGGCGGUAGGCCUAACACAUGCAAGUCGAACGGCAGCACAGUAAGAGCUUGCUCUUACGGGUGGCGAGUGGCGGACGGGUGAGGAAUACAUCGGAAUCUACUUUUUCGUGGGUGAUAACGUAGGGACACUUACGCUAAUACCGCAUACGACCUACGGGUGAAAGCAGGGGAUCUUCGGACCUUGCGCGAUUGAAUGAGCCGAGGUCGGAUUAGCUAGUUGGCGGGGUAAAGGCCCACCAAGGCGACGAUCCGUAGCUGGUCUGAGAGGAUGAUCAGUCACACUGGAACUGAGACACGGUCCAGACUCCUACGGGAGGCAGCAGUGGGGAAUAUUGGACAAUGGGCGCAAGCCUGAUCCAGCCAUACCGCGUGUGUGAAGAAGGCCUUCGGGUUGUAAAGCCCUUUUGUUGGGAAAGAAAAGCAGCAGGUUAAUACCCCGCUGUUCUGACGUUACCCAAAGAAUAAGCACCGGCUAACUUCGUG
rnacentral:rRNA from 1 species